rnacentral:rRNA from 1 species
UACGAAGGGGGCUAGCGUUGCUCGGAAUCACUGGGCGUAAAGGGUGCGUAGGCGGGUCUUUUAAGUCAGGGGUGAAAUCCUGGAGCUCAACUCCAGAACUGCCUUUGAUACUGAAGAUCUUGAGUUCGGGAGAGGUGAGUGGAACUGCGAGUGUAGAGGUGAAAUUCGUAGAUAUUCGCAAGAACACCAGUGGCGAAGGCGGACUCACUGGCCCGAGUACUGACGCUGAGGCACGAAAAGCGUGGG